GACGUAGGGCGCGAGCGUUGUCCGGAUUUAUUGGGUACGGUAAAGAGCUCGUAGGCGGCUUGUCGCGUCGUUCGUGGAAACCUGCGGCUCAACUGCAGGCUUGCGGUCGAUACGGGCAGGCUAGAGUUCGGUAGGGGAGACUGGAAUUCCUGGAUGUAGCGGUGAAAUGCGCAGAUAUCAGGAGGAACACCUGUGGUGCUAGACAGCUUACUGGACCACUUCUGACGCUGAGACACGAAAGCAUGGGGAGCGAACAGG
rnacentral:rRNA from 1 species